rnacentral:rRNA from 1 species
CACGGCGGCCACAGCGAAGGGGAAACGCCCGGUCCCAUCCCGAACCCGGAAGCUAAGCCCUUCAGCGCCGAUGGUACUGCACCCGCCAGGAUGUGGGAGAGUAGGACGCCGCCGGAC